UAGGGAAUCUUCCGCAAUGGGCGAAAGCCUGACGGAGCAACGCCGCGUGAGUGAUGAAGGUCUUCGGAUCGUAAAACUCUGUUAUUAGGGAAGAACAAAUGUGUAAGUAACUAUGCACGUCUUGACGGUACCUAAUCAGAAAGCCACGGCUAACUACGUGCCAGCAGCCGCGGUAAUACGUAGGUGGCAAGCGUUAUCCGGAAUUAUUGGGCGUAAAGCGCGCGUCGGCGGUUUUUUAAGUCUGAUGUGAAAGCCCACGGCUCAAACGUGGAGGGUCAUUGGAAACUGGAAAACUUGAGUGCAGAAGAGGAAAGUGGAAUUCCAUGUGUAGCGGUGAAAUGCGCAGAGAUAUGGAGGAACACCAGUGGCGAAGGCGACUUUCUGGCCUGUAACUGACGCUGAUGUGCGAAAGCGUGGGGAUCAAACAGG
rnacentral:rRNA from 1 species